rnacentral:rRNA from 1 species
GACGAACGCUGGCGGCGUGCUUAACACAUGCAAGUCGAGCGGUAAGGCCCUUUCGGGGGUACACGAGCGGCGAACGGGUGAGUAACACGUGGGUGACCUGCCCUCAGCUCUGGGAUAAGCCUGGGAAACCGGGUCUAAUACUGGAUAUGACUCCAUGACGCAUGUUGUGGGGUGGAAAGCCUUGUGCGGCUGAGGAUGGGCCCGCGGCCUAUCAGCUUGUUGGUGGGGUGAUGGCCUACCAAGGCGACGACGGGUAGCCGGCCUGAGAGGGCGACCGGCCACACUGGGACUGAGACACGGCCCAGACUCCUACGGGAGGCAGCAGUGGGGAAUCUUGCGCAAUGGGCGAAAGCCUGACGCAGCGACGCCGCGUGGGGAUGAAGCUUCUCGGAGUGUAAACCCCUUUCGACCCUGACGAAAA